rnacentral:lncRNA from 1 species
GGGUAACUUUAAGUAAAAAAUUGAAACAUUGUGAAACAACUUUUACGUAUUAUAGAUGCAUAUGUGUAUAUUUUGUUGAUGCUGCUUUGAUAUAUUGUGCUUGUAGAUAUUUAUAUUAUUUAUGCUACUCAUUUUUAAACACUUUAUUAUAUUAUGUCGACUAUAACUAUUGGUAGCGUAAACUGCAGGGGUUUAUCAGAAACAGUCAAAAGAAUUGAUAUAUUUACAAAAUAUAAGGACUUAUAUGAUAUAACUAUAUUAGUAGACACCCAUAGCACAUCUGAAAAAGAAAAACAAUGGCUUCAUGAAUGGGGAUAUGUGGGGAAAUUUAGUUCUUAUUCUAGUAAAAGUAGAGGGGUAGCUAUUUUUUUUCAAAAAUACUUUCGAAUUCAAGAUCCAUGAGGAAACUAUAGACCUGAUGGGUAAUUUUAUUAUACUAGAUAUCACCAUUCAGGACUACCGUAUAACUUUGGCAGCUAUAUAUGGACCGAAUAAUGAUGACCCAGUCUUUUUUGAGAACAUAAAACACAAAAUAUCCCACUAUGGCAAUUCGUCAAUUG